rnacentral:tRNA from 1 species
GGCUAAAUAACAUAAUUGGUAAUGUAUUAGAUUGCAAAUCUUAGAAUACUGGUUCAAACCCGGUUUUAGCCU